GGAUGAACGCUAGCUACAGGCUUAACACAUGCAAGUCGAGGGGAAACGAUAGAGAAAGCUUGCUUUUUCUAGGCGUCGACCGGCGCACGGGUGAGUAACGCGUAUCCAACCUGCCCAUCACUUGGGGAUAACCUUGCGAAAGUAAGACUAAUACCCAAUGAUAUCUCUAGAAGACAUCUGAAAGAGAUUAAAGAUUUAUCGGUGAUGGAUGGGGAUGCGUCUGAUUAGCUUGUUGGCGGGGUAACGGCCCACCAAGGCGACGAUCAGUAGGGGUUCUGAGAGGAAGGUCCCCCACAUUGGAACUGAGACACGGUCCAAACUCCUACGGGAGGCAGCAGUGAGGAAUAUUGGUCAAUGGGCGAGAGCCUGAACCAGCCAAGUAGCGUGCAGGAAGACGGCCCUAUGGGUUGUAAACUGCUUUUAUAAGGGAAUAAAGUGGGAGUCGUGACUCCUUUUGCAUGUACCUUAUGAAUAAGGACCGGCUAAUUCCGUGCCAGCAGCCGCGGUAAUACGGAAGGUCCGGGCGUUAUCCGGAUUUAUUGGGUUUAAAGGGAGCGUAGGCCGGAGAUUAAGCGUGUUGUGAAAUGUAGACGCUCAACGUCUGCACUGCAGCGCGAACUGGUUUCCUUGAGUACGCACAAAGUGGGCGGAAUUCGUGGUGUAGCGGUGAAAUGCUUAGAUAUCACGAAGAACUCCGAUUGCGAAGGCAGCUCACUGGAGCGCAACUGACGCUGAAGCUCGAAAGUGCGGGUAUCGAACAGGAUUAGAUACCCUGGUAGUCCGCACGGUAAACGAUGGAUGCCCGCUGUUGGUCUGAAUAGGUCAGCGGCCAAGCGAAAGCAUUAAGCAUCCCACCUGGGGAGUACGCCGGCAACGGUGAAACUCAAAGGAAUUGACGGA
rnacentral:rRNA from 1 species